rfam:Pantoea sp. PSNIH1, complete genome.
CAAUUAAUUAUCUGGAGGAUCCUGUUGAACAGUCAACCUUAUCGAUGGCGAUAUAAGGCAAGCUGACGCACGGAUUUUUUCCCUGCUGCUUGCCACUCUGGCGGCGGCACCUUCU